GUGGGAAAUUUUGGACAAUGGGCGCAAGCCUGAUCCAGCAAUGCCGCGUGUGUGAAGAAGGCCUUCGGGUUGUAAAGCACUUUUGUCCGGAAAGAAAUCUCCUGGGUUAAUACCUCGGGGGGAUGACGGUACCGGAAGAAUAAGCACCGGCUAACUACGUGCCAGCAGCCGCGGUAAUACGUAGGGUGCGAGCGUUAAUCGGAAUUACUGGGCGUAAAGCGUGCGCAGGCGGCUCUGCAAGACAGAUGUGAAAGGCCCGGGCUCAACCUGGGAACUGCAUUUGUGACUGCAAGGCUAGAGUGCGUCAGAGGGAGGUGGAAUUCCGCGUGUAGCAGUGAAAUGCGUAGAGAUGUGGAGGAAUACCGAUGGCGAAGGCAGCCCCCUGGGAUAACACUGACGCUCAUGCACGAAAGCGUGGGGAGCAAACAGGAUUAGAAACCCUAGUAGUCC
rnacentral:rRNA from 1 species